UACGGAGGGAGCUAGCGUUGUUCGGAAUUACUGGGCGUAAAGCGCGCGUAGGCGGCUUUGUAAGUUAGAGGUGAAAGCCCGGGGCUCAACCCCGGAACUGCCUUUAAGACUGCAUCGCUUGAAUCCGGGAGAGGUGAGUGGAAUUCCGAGUGUAGAGGUGAAAUUCGUAGAUAUUCGGAAGAACACCAGUGGCGAAGGCGGCUCACUGGACUGGUAUUGACGCUGAGGUGCGAAAGCGUGGGGAGCAAACAGG
rnacentral:rRNA from 1 species